rnacentral:rRNA from 1 species
UACGAAGGGGGCUAGCGUUGCUCGGAAUCACUGGGCGUAAGCGCACGUAGGCGGGUCUUUAAGUCAGGGGUGAAAUCCUGGAGCUCAACUCCAGAACUGCCUUUGAUACUGAGGAUCUCGAGUCCGGGAGAGGUGAGUGGAACUCCGAGUGUAGAGGUGAAAUUCGUAGAUAUUCGGAAGAACACCAGUGGCGAAGGCGGCUCACUGGCCCGGUACUGACGCUGAGGAGCGAAAGCGUGGGGAGCGUACAGG